GGCAAGGUGGCCGAGCGGUUAAGGCGCUGUCUUUAGGUCACGUGACGUCCUUUCGGCAGUUCGAAAGAUCGCGGGUUCGAAUCCCGUCCUUGUCA